UACGUAGGGGGCAAGCGUUGUCCGGAAUCAUUGGGCGUAAAGCGCGUGUAGGCGGCUGGCUAAGUCCGCUCUGAAAGCCCGGGGCUCAACCCCGGGAGGCGGGUGGAUACUGGUCAGCUCGAGUCCGGAAGAGGAGUGUGGAAUUCCUGGUGUAGCGGUGAAAUGCGCAGAUAUCAGGAGGAACACCAAUGGCGAAGGCAGCACUCUGGGACGGUACUGACGCUGAGACGCGAAAGCAUGGGGAGCAAACAGG
rnacentral:rRNA from 1 species